AAAUUGUAUAUUUAAAAAGCCAGAUAGCCAAAGAAUUUUUAUGGGGUUUUAAUAAAUAGUUUUUCCACAAAGUAGUUUAGAAAACAGAUUUCACCUGGAAAUCAUUAAGGGUUAUGUUUGUGCUUUUCCCUUUUUAAAGAUUUGGUCAUGUAAGGCUAUAAAACCUCUUUUUUAAUAAUUGGAAAUCUACAGUAGACACAGUUGUUCCCUUUUUAAUAUGUUUUACUUAGAGCAUAUACAUAAAUAUAAUAUAACUGUGUAAAGAAUGAUGUUCUGAUGUUCAGUUUCUUAGUCUGAAAUUGUAAUAAGGUAAUUUGGAACUUCAAAAAGCAUUUUACAAUCUUAAUGUUAAAAAUGGAAGAAAUUAAGAAUUUGCAUUUUAUGUUUCUAAGUAAUAGCUUUCCUGUUACAGAGUGAGGAAAAUAAUUACAACAGAAUGUUCAUUACAUCAUCUUUAGUACUGUAUUACUAUAUUUUGGAAGAAAAAAAAAGUGACUUAGUAUGUUCCUAGGCCAGCCUAAGUAGUGAUUUUGAUUUCUUUUGUUAUUAACUUUACAAGAUAUGAUAACAUUGAACAACUACACUUAAGAAGAACCUCCUCUUUAUGUCAAUACAAUGAGCUAAAUGCUAAAUUUAAUUCCUGGGUUAACAAAAACUGCAAGGUUAAGACCUAAUUGCAAAAGCUAUCUUGUUUACCUCUGCUUUAAAAGUCUUUCAAAAUAAUCAGCAUAAAUAUUCAUUUAUGUGGAAGGUUCUUCAAGUAUAAGCUUAUCUUGGGGGAAGAGGGUUCAUCAAAGUUGGUCAUAUUUACAAUAUUUGAAUUUACCAAAGUGUUUACCAAGCCUUAGCUGUUUUUCAGUUUAAGUUAUACCACCGAACUGUGUUCCUCCAGCAAUAUUGCGUUCUGUGGCUUCACUUCAGAAACAAGCAGACUUGACUAUGAGAAAAUCCCUUCAGUAAGCCAUGCAGUUUACAUUUUACUGAGCGGUUUUCAUGCGUUUCCCCUCUUGAGCAAAUAUAUAACCCGUUCUUCGGCUUUCUUACCUAAUGCCGAUUCUGUUUCGAAAGCACGUUGCAGCUGAGCGAGAUUCGUCCCCCUCCUGGGCAGCUCUGGGCAGUCUCUGAAGUCAGUCCUCUCGAGCGCGCCUUCUGAUGAAGUUGGCAGAGAUGCAGGAGUGAUGAUUACCAGGUGAACUCAGGCUGUGUUCCCCAUUCCAUGAGCUUCACUGGCUGUUUCGUGCCUCAGCAUGCUAGUCGGCGGCAUGCUGUGCUGGAGGUGUAAUCUGGAGGGUCUGUUCUGAUUAUCCUUGAAAGCCUGGUAUAUACUGUACUGCGCACAUCAGCUAGCGUGGCCACAGAAUUCUUCAAGACAGAAAGAAAAGCUAAUCUUGAGUCUUUUGUUUCCCCAUUUCCAUGGCUUCAUGCGCAGUCCCAUUCUGUAAAACAGGGCAACAAAGAUGUCGCCAGCAGGCAGGACAGAACAGGAGGGGAAGAGCAGGCUUGUGUAGGGGAUAGCACGAUCACUUCAACAGUUUGUCAUAUCCGCUUAGCGAUGAUAGAGAACUGUGGUGCUGCAGUUAAAUGGAGCUAAAGCAAAGCUCUCGGUCUAAAAGUUACAGCAGAAAGCAGUUUGGCCAGUCCUCCCUGGCUCUGACAUUAUGCAGAUUUUCAUUGGAGGUAAAUCUUGAGGACAGUGAUCUGCACUGAAAGCUUUUAGAAUGAAUUAUUUGGGUGUCAGCUGCAUCCCUUUAAGGCUUCUUUCAGGGAACAGUGCUCCUGAACUGCAUUGUACGCGGACGCAGGGGCUUAUUAAAUAUUCUGUUUUUGAAGAGGUUGUUUUUAAGGUCCUUCUUCCCAGGUGUUACUGUGGCAACCUGAACUCGGUUCACAUCGUGCUGCGUCAUCUCUCCCGCAGCCCUCUCGUCCCGCGUGCCUUUAACCCCUCGCGUGUCUCGGCAGGUGGAUGUCGGGGUGGUCCACUUCACCCCUCUGGUUCAGCCCCAGAUCGGCCAGCCCUUCAAACUGGUGGAAAAAGUCGUCAGGAACGUCUUUCAGUUCCGAAGGAAACACUGCCGGCGAGGAAUCGAAAUGUUGUUUCCAGAAGCUCGGCGUCUGGAGCUCUCAGAGCAGAUGUUACGCACGGCAGAUGUGGACCCGACUCUGCGCCCGACCGAGUUAUCCAUUCCCCAUUUCAGAAACCUGUCAGACGCCUACAGCAAACUGUGCUCAGACAACCCAGGUCUCCUCGCCUAUGACUUCAGAGAUGAACUGAGGAAGAAGAGAAGAUCGAGGUGCAUCAAAGAGGAGGAGGAAGAACUGUGAUUUUUUUUUAGGGAAGUUGAAGGCUUCAACAAGGACAACAGACAUUAAAUCUGACAUUUCACUGAGCCAGAACAAUACAUUAUUUAAAAUUGUAGUUUUUUUAAAUCACUUGGGGAGUGAAAACUGUCUUGAAACCUGAAAGAAGAGAUCUAGCAAAUCACAUGGGUUGAAUGGUUUAAUUGUACAUAUGUUCUUGGUACUGUAUAUCAGCCUCUGAGUGUGGCCUUUGUGUUUAAGACAUUUAGGGAAUUGAACAUUGAUGUGUUCUGAGAAAUAUCAGUGCUGCUGCAGCCGAGUUAAAUUGGUAACUGGUGAUAUUAUAUUACACCACAUAAAAUGGGCAGUGGAUAAAACCGAUACAAGGCUUUGUUUCUGCUUGAAGUAGCACCGGUUUCCUGGCUGGAUUAGAACCAUAAAUCCAGGCUGUUUGUUUUAUAGCCCCGGAUUUAGCCAGCACACAGUUAAGACGUUGUCUCGCGCGCACCGCCCAGAGAGAAUGAGGACGAGCAAGCCUGUUAAUUUGACACGCUCACCUGUCAGAGCUAUUCUUUUUCUGGUGACAUACUGGAGACCGGCGGGACCACUGGCGAAGUGGCGUCUCUCUCACUGACGUCACUGCAGGCCUACAGGCGCCUGGUAAAAUUGACAGGAGAUGCUGUUGUGCUAAGAGGAUGUCUGUUCACACACAACCACCUGAAUGGACUUUCAUUCGCUUGGCAUCCAGUCAGUGCGACGGCGAAUGGAUCUGUCUGGCAGCCUCUCAUUCCGCCCUUUCGUGCGCAUUAGUCCGAGUAAGCAGACACGUGCUGAUUAAUAUGCUAAUAUGCAUGUCCCCGACACAUUGCGACUCCUGCUCUCCUCACUCCCCCUGGCUUUGAAGGGUGUUCUUUCUAACACCCAUUCUAGCCCAGCAGGGCUCUACCAAUUACGUGAUGCCAUGUGGGGCAUUCCAGCAACAGCCAGCUUGUCACAUAAUUAAGUGACCAGAUGUCCUGUUAAUAGCAGACCCUUCUCAUAUGGGUAAGUAGCCUGCAAAAGAGAGAACAACUGGGGGGGGGUGGGCAGUGAUUUCUCAAAUUGCUCGUUUAUAUGGCCACGUUCUACAGCAUAUAAAACAAGAACUUUAAAAUCGGCAAAUAUGUUGACCAUACAGACUGCAGAAUCUCUUCCUACACACGCAUUGCCACCUUCACAGAACCAAGCCGUAAAGAUUUAGAAGCAAACGAGAGGGGUUUAGCGUCCAGCAACCCACAGACCUAAAACAGCGCAGCCAUAAUAAAGUAGUAAAUGAUGAAAAAUAAUAAAUAGUGCAUUAAAUCUUGCAAAUAUUUUUCAACAAAAGAAAAGGUUCAAAUCAGGCUUUUCGUCGGCUUCUCAGUGUGGAAUGAACGUCUCCUUGUUCCUUUGCAGAACCCCAGCUGACAGCUCCUUAGCUGAACCAUUUUCGGGGCUGGUGAAAAGAUUAAACUAAAGUUAAAAAACCUGA